UUGAACGCACAUUGCGCCCUCUGGUAUUCCGGAGGGCAUGCCUGUUCGAGCGUCAUUU
rnacentral:rRNA from 1 species